rnacentral:rRNA from 1 species
CCAGACUCCUACGGGAGGCAGCAGUGGGGAAUAUUGCACAAUGGGGGAAACCCUGAUGCAGCGACGCCGCGUGAGCGAAGAAGUAUUUCGGUAUGUAAAGCUCUAUCAGCAGGGAAGAAAAAAUGACGGUACCUGACUAAGAAGCACCGGCUAAAUACGUGCCAGCAGCCGCGGUAAUACGUAUGGUGCAAGCGUUAUCCGGAUUUACUGGGUGUAAAGGGAGCGCAGGCGGUACGGCAAGUCUGAUGUGAAAGCCCGGGGCUCAACCCCGGUACUGCAUUGGAAACUGUCGGACUAGAGUGUCGGAGGGGUAAGUGGAAUUCCUAGUGUAGCGGUGAAAUGCGUAGAUAUUAGGAGGAACACCAGUGGCGAAGGCGGCUUACUGGACGAUUACUGACGCUGAGGCUCGAAAGCGUGGGGAGCAAACAGGAUUAGAUACCCUAGUA